GGCAUUUGUUUAGACGUUAACUGGUAGAUAAAGCAUCACUAAUUAACAAUUAAUAAAUAAAUAAUUACUGGUGACAAUAUUGCGAUGAUUGAUUAACUAGUCACGUUGGUUAUAUUCGUAUUCAAUGCUUUCAAUAUAACUAGUGGCAUUCUGUAACACCACGUGCUAGUUUUAUAUCUAGUUUCUAACUAGAUAUAACAUUUACAAUUAAACUUUCAUACAUCAAUUAAGUGGUCACUUGAUUUCUAAGUAGUCAUCGCUGAUCGCGGGUGAAUGUAAUGUCGAUAAACAGUGUUUAGUUUACUAGACUUUCAAUUUAUUAUAACAGUGCUACUACCAUUCCAUUCUGUAUAGGUUAAGUUAUGGAAUAUAUCAAUCUGUAUUAUUUUUCCAUCCAUUAAGUAAUUAUAAGUGUAUAUACAAAUACUAGAUAAAUAAAUAACAUAGCAAAAUAGUUUUUAAAUUGUGUAUAUAAUUAAUUAUUUAUUAAAUUAUGUUAUUAUUCUUAUAUGUUAUUUAGUUGAGUAUUUUUGUCAGCUCACUGUAUUCAUCCACAAAUAGCUAAUCAUAUAACGUAUUGUUCAUGCAAUUCAAAUUAUAAAUUAAUUAAUUAAUUAAUAACCAAUAUAUAAAAGAUUACUAAAUAAAUAAUUACAGUAGUUAAUUAAAUAGAUGGACAAAACAGAAUAGAUAAAAGUAGAUCACAGAUAAUUAAUUUUCUUACUUGUUGGUUAAAAUAGUUUUUAUGAGCUAUACCCUGUAUCUAAGCCUUAUAGAAAGUUUAUAUUCUGUUUCAUUUGGUUGCCUAGCCUUUAUUAUGGAACCACAAAAUGCUUGGAAGUGAUUCCAUAUGUCACUGUCUGCUGUAACUAAGGUAAUUAUAUUCUUGGUGUUUAAAGUAUCACUGGCAUGGUUUUCAAGAGCUGUACGUUGGGAGGCCCAUCUUGGAUAUUUAAACAAUGGGUGUUCAGCAUCAUCUAGCUCUUCUUUACAAUACCAGCAUUGGUUAUUGUUUUCUUUAUUUAUUGUUAUUCUGUAUAUGUUAAAGAUACCAUGUCUGGUAAGCAUUUGCAUUGUACAAUGUUUAAUAAGUUUUUUAUUCUUUAUAAAGAUGGCUGCAUUGUCUAUCAAUUUUCUUGUCUAAUUAUCUUUCUUAUACAGGGUCCAUUCCUUCCUCUGAUCCUCUAUUGCUGUUUCUUCCAAUUAUUCUAUCUUUUACCUGAGUGACAUUUGCACCUUAUCAGUUAUGUUUCCUACCGUCUUUAAUGUGUGCCUUUUUUCACCUCAUACACCUUUCCUUGCAGCUGUGCUUUAAUGUAUAUUGACAUGUUGCCAUUAUAAGCUAUUGAUGUCCAUAUUAGGGUCGAUCUUUGUGCUUUUUUAAAUAUUUUUUUACUUUUAGUCAUUUUUAGAACCUCAGCCCAUACAGGAGAGGUUUAUAGUAUCACCAAUUCCCAGACAUUGUAGUACAAUUUUCUAACGAGAUUAGUGGGGCCAUUUACGUUGGUAAGGAGUCCUCUCAGAACUCCGACUAAUGCAUCGGCUCUAUCGCAUACUGUUUCCAGAAAUCUGCAAAUUUGCUAACUUUUGUGAUGGCAUCGACCAUGCUCCUGCAUCUGUGAAAACCAUAUCGGUUUUUGUGAUGUGGAUCCUGUUCCAGUUAUUUCUUAAUAGAGGAUUUAAAAGUAUUCUCCCAUACCUUGCUCAUCACAGGUAGGAUACUUAUGGGGCAAUAGAAAGUAGGAAGGAGAGGAUCCUUUCCUGAUUUUGCUAGCAAUACUACUCUGGAACCCCAUCCAUGCCAGCCGUCUUUGUAGAAUUUAAUUGUCUGAUGGCAUUCGCUAACUCCUCCAUUUGGACGGUGACACAUACAUUGUCGCUUGUUACUUCCUCGUAUUUGCUAUCCCAUCUCCUUUCUUCGGCAGUUAUGUUUAUUUUUGUGGUGAAAAGUGUAUCUAUAAUGCUAUUAAUUUUAUUUGAGUUCGUUAUCUGUUGGUUUCUUGUUUUUUAGUUUACUUAUAAUGCUUCUAUAGGGUUUACCCCAUGGAUCCCAUUUUAAGGUUGCAACGAAUUCCUUCCAUGCUUGCUUUUUGUUUUUCUGAAUUAAUAUUUUCAGUUUCUUCUUUUUUUUUGCUUACAUAUCUUAGUAAGAUCCUCUGCAUUGCUGACUAAGAUUAAUACAGGUUCAUUGGGCAACCCCUCUACUUUUAUUCACUAUUUCUCUAAGUGAGGCUAUAUCCUCAUUCUACCAAUAGUUUUCGUUCUUCUUACCCCUUGAUGGGAAGACUUUUUUAAUUUGACUUCACACGUUUUUUAUAUAAUAUUUUGGAGAACUUCUCCAUGAUUCGUCCUGUCAAUUAUAAAAUUUAUUAUUAGAUUGUUUUUUAUUUCGUCAAAUUUAUUAGUAAACCUGUCCGAAUCAAAGGCCUCUGACGAAAAUUUAUAAUGACCUCAAUUUCUGUUGAUCGUCGUAUUUUAAAAUUCGUGUAAUGCAUAAAGGUGACCUGAAGUAUUAAAAAUUUGUGGGAUGUUUGUUCUUUUAUAAAGCCUAGUUAACCCUAGCUAAACCUAGCGAAGGUACUACCUCUUUUGUCGGUUUUAUCUCUGCCCCGCGCUGCCGAUUUUGCAUUAUAAUCGGCAGUAAUAAUUAUUUUUCUUUGUUUUUUAUAUAUCUUUUUAAUUAAACUUUCUAGUUUAUUAAUGUAUUUGUAAUAGCUAUCUUUGUUGAUGUUAGGGAACAAUAUCCACUCACACAGUAAAAUUCUCCUAUUCUUAUUCCCACCAUAUCGUGUUCCUGAAUUAUGGUAUCUUCACAUGGGUAUGCGCCAUUAAAUAACAUAACCCAUAUGGAUGCAUCUCCUUUUGUGUCGUUGUAUCAGUACGUCUGUUUUUUAUUAAGUUCAGAGAUGGUAACAAUACUGCUCUAACUUCGCAAGCGUAUUGGUACAUUAAAUCCUGCGCUAACUUGCAGCGAUUUAAAUUGAUCUGCAAGAUCUUUAUCUUUUUAGUCUAAUAUUGCCCUCUUUCAUCGCUCUUCUGUAUAUAAUGCACGUCAAUGACCCAGUGACGUGUAUUUUAUUUUUUGAUUCUUGUGCACUGCACGUGGUGCAGUACGAUUCGUUAUUGCAAUAUGCCUUAUUGUUGUCCCUAGCUCCACAUUUCUUGCAGAGCUCCUUUCCUGGGCUGAC